UACGUAGGGGGCAAGCGUUGUCCGGAAUCAUUGGGCGUAAAGCGCGUGUAGGCGGUUCGGUAAGUCUGCUGUGAAAGUCCAGGGCUCAACCCUGGGAUGCCGGUGGAUACUGUCGGACUAGAGUACGGAAGAGGCGAGUGGAAUUCCCGGUGUAGCGGUGAAAUGCGCAGAUAUCGGGAGGAACACCCGUAGCGAAGGCGGCACUCUGGGCCGAUACUGACACUGAGGAGCGAAAGCGUGGGGAGCGAACAGG
rnacentral:rRNA from 1 species